GUGGGGAAUAUUGCGCAAUGGGGGAAACCCUGACGCAGCGACGCCGUGUGAGGGAAGAAGGCUUUCGGGUCGUAAACCUCUGUCAGGAAGGAAGAACCUCUCAAGGCUGAACAAGCCUUGGGACUGACGGUACUUCCAGAGGAAGCACCGGCUAACUCCGUGCCAGCAGCCGCGGUUAUACGGAGGGUGCAAGCGUUAAUCGGAAUCACUGGGCGUAAAGCGCGCGUAGGGCGUCUUUUAAGUCGGCCGUGAAAGCCCUCGGCUGAACCGGGGAACUGCGUUAGAUAGUGGGAGACUUUAGUCCUGGAGAGGGUGGCGGAAUUCCGGGUGUAGGAGUGAAAUCGGUAGAUAUCCGGAGGAACACCGGUGGCGAAGGCGGCCACCUGGACAGGUACUGACGCUGAGGCGCGAAAGCGUGGGGAGCAAACAGGAUUAGAUACCCCAGUAGUCC
rnacentral:rRNA from 1 species